GACGAACGCUGGCGGCGUGCCUAAUACAUGCAAGUAGGACGCACAGCCUAUACCGUAGCUUGCUACACCAUAGGCUGUGAGUUGCGAACGGGUGAGUAACGCGUAGGUAACCUGCCUAUUAGAGGGGGAUAACUAUUGGAAACGAUAGCUAAUACCGCAUAACAGUAUGUAACACAUGUUAGAUGCUUGAAAGAUGCAAUUGCAUCGCUAGUAGAUGGACCUGCGUUGUAUUAGCUAGUAGGUAGGGUAAUGGCCUACCUAGGCAACGAUACAUAGCCGACCUGAGAGGGUGAUCGGCCACACUGGGACUGAGACACGGCCCAGACUCCUACGGGAGGCAGCAGUAGGGAAUCUUCGGUAAUGGGGGGAACCCUGACCGAGCAACGCCGCGUGAGUGAAGAAGGUUUUCGGAUCGUAAAGCUCUGUUGUUAAGGAAGAACGAGUGUGAGAAUGGAAAGUUCAUACUGUGACGGUACUUAACCAGAAAGGGACGGCUAACUACGUGCCAGCAGCCGCGGUAAUACGUAGGUCCCGAGCGUUGUCCGGAUUUAUUGGGCGUAAAGCGAGCGCAGGCGGUUUGAUAAGUCUGAAGUUAAAGGCUGUGGCUCAACCAUAGUUCGCUUUGGAAACUGUCAAACUUGAGUGCAGAAGGGGAGAGUGGAAUUCCAUGUGUAGCGGUGAAAUGCGUAGAUAUAUGGAGGAACACCGGUGGCGAAAGCGGCUCUCUGGUCUGUAACUGACGCUGAGGCUCGAAAGCGUGGGGAGCGAACAGG
rnacentral:rRNA from 1 species